GACGAACCGUGCGAACGUUGUUCGGAAUCACUGGGCUUAAAGGGCGCGUAGGCGGACCUCCAAGUCCGGGGUGAAAUCUUUCGGCUUAACCGGAAAAGUGCCUUGGAUACUGGGGGUCUCGAGGGAGGCAGGGCGGAUGGAACUCCGGUGGAGCGGUGAAAUGCGUUGAGAUCGGAAGGAACGCCGUGGCGAAAGCGAGGUCCUGGACGCCACUGACGCUGAGACGCGAAAGCCAGGGGAGCGAACGGG
rnacentral:rRNA from 1 species